rnacentral:rRNA from 1 species
UACGGAGGGUGCAAGCGUUGUCCGGAAUUACUGGGCGUAAAGCGUGCGCAGGCGGUUAUGUAAGACAGGUGUGAAAUCCCCGGGCUUAACCUGGGAACUGCAUUUGUGACUGCAUAGCUAGAGUACGGUAGAGGGGGAUGGAAUUCCGCGUGUAGCAGUGAAAUGCGUAGAUAUGCGGAGGAACACCGAUGGCGAAGGCAAUCCCCUGGACCUGUACUGACGCUCAUGCACGAAAGCGUGGGGAGCAAACAGG